rnacentral:rRNA from 1 species
CUCGUAGUCGGAUUUCGGGGCGGCUUCGUCGGUCUGCCGAUGGGUAUGCACUGACGCGGGCGUCCUUCCUUCCGGAGACGCGUCCUACUCUUAGCUGAGCGGGGCGUGGAGACGGAUCGUUUACUUUGAAAAAAUCAGAGUGUUUCAAGCAGGCAUCAUCGCUCUUGCAUGGAUUAGCAUGGGAUAAUGAAAUAGGACCUUGGUGCUAUUUUGUUGGUUUCGAGCACCGAAGUAAUGAUUAACAGGGACAGUCAGGGGCACUCGUAUUCCGCCGAGAGAGGUGAAAUUCUCAGACCAGCGGAAGACGAACCACUGCGAAAGCAUUUGCCAGGGAUGUUUUCACUGAUCAAGAACGAAAGUUAGGGGAUCGAAGACGAUCAGAUACCGUCGUAGUCUUAACCAUAAACCAUGCCGACUAGGGAUUGGAGGAUGUCCACUUUUGACUUCUUCAGCACCUUACGGGAAACUAAAGUCUUUGGGUUCCGGGGGGAGUAUGGUCGCAAGGCUGAAACUUAAAGGAAUUGACGGAAGGGCACCACCAGGAGUGGAGCCUGCGGCUUAAUUUGACUCAACACGGGGAAACUUACCAGGUCCAGACAUUGUGAGGAUUGACAGAUUGAGAGCUCUUUCUUGAUUCGAUGGGUGGUGGUGCAUGGCCGUUCUUAGUUGGUGGAGUGAUUUGUCUGG